AAUUUUAAAUCUAGCCUAAAUAUAUAAUACUAAUCCCUAAUAUACAAAACAUUAUUAUAUGAUAGUACGGGCGACAGAAAGCUUAUUAGCGCAAUAGAAAAAGUACUGUAAAGGAAAGAUGAAAUAAAAGUGAAAUAAAACAAAAAUAUAAAAAAGCAAAGAUAACAACUCCUACCUUUAGCAUAAUGAUCUAGCCAGUCUACAUUAACAUAAAGAAUUUUAGUUAUAUACCCCGAAACCAGACGAGCUACCCUAAGACAGCAAUAUAUGAGCAAACUCUUCUCUGUGGCAAAAGAGUGAGAAGAGCUUUUGGUAGAGGCGAAAAACCAAACGAGCCUGGAUAUAGCUGGUUACUUGAGAAUGAAUUUUAGUUCAACUAAAAGCAUAAAUAUUUUAAAAACAAGCGCUUUUAUUAUAAUUAAUUGAGGUACAGCCCAAUUAAUAAAGGAAACAACCUA
rnacentral:rRNA from 1 species